GUCGGGAUACCUCAGCUGGUAGAGUAGAGGACUGAAAAUUCUCGGGUCACCAGUUCAAAUUUGGUUCCUAGCA
rnacentral:tRNA from 1 species